rnacentral:rRNA from 1 species
UACGGAGGAUCCGAGCGUUAUCCGGAUUUAUUGGGUUUAAAGGGUGCGCAGGCGGAAUAUUAAGUCGGCGGUGAAAGUUUGCAGCUUAACUGUAAAAUUGCCGUUGAUACUGGUAUUCUUGAGUGUAUAUGAAGUAGGCGGAAUUUGUAGUGUAGCGGUGAAAUGCAUAGAUAUCACGAGGAACUCCGAUUGCGCAGGCAGCUUACUAAACUACUACUGACGCUCAGGCACGAAGGCGUGGGGAUCAAACAGGAUUAGAUACCCG